rnacentral:lncRNA from 1 species
UCUAAAUCAGAACAUUUUCUUGGUUUCCUCUUAUUCUCACAUAUUGUAUCAAAUGGUCUGAAGACUUUAACUGAAUCAGUGACUCUUUGUGUGUAUGCUAGCGGUCAUUUUUGCAGAAAUGAAGCCUCAAAUGUGUUUAUCCUUAUGAGAGAUGAUACAGAACUUUGUUUAAAGUACUCCAUAGAGUUUUUGUUAGACAAGAAGCAAGAAAAAAAUGACAUGGAACUCUUCAAGCACACCUCUAGAAGAUAUUUGACCAUCUUAUUCUACUGAAGAUCUGAGUCUCUUGUUAAACAUUACUUUACAGGUAUUUGCCAAAAAUCAUUAUUAUUGCACUAUUUUUAGUGGUUAACAUGAAGAACAAAUUAUUUUUCCCAUGUGAUGACUUAAAACUCUUUAAAUAUAUUCGAUUAUAAAAUAUACUUUAAAAAAAACAACAACACAACCAUAGUUAUAAAAAAUAAUGCUUAUUAGGAUUAUUACCAUGGAUGUUUUUUUGACGGAGCUCUACCCAAAUUGUCUGCAUCAUAAUGCCUUCUCUCAGUAAGGAAAUCUGUUAUUUUUCCUGUAAGUCCUGUCUUCUCUCCUCCCCAGAGCACAAAAAGACAAAUGGUCAGGUAUAAAAAUCUUUCUAAACAAAUUAAUGUAGAUGAUUUUGUUUUUGCUACUAAAUAGACCAUUGGAAUUUAGAAAAUAUUUUUUCCUGCUUCAGGUUUCCUAACUAAAUACUUGGGAAUGACAAAAUUAACCUUACUAAUGACAUGGGAAUAUUGAAGAUUAAUUAAUUAAUGUUUAGAGAGUACUCAGUGCUCUUGAGUGCUCUAAAAAUAACAGGCAAACAGGCACUAUGAGCACUGAGUGUAUUUUUGUUAUUAUGUUUUUUAGUAUCAGCUUUAUUUAAUAGUGCUAGAUGUUACAGUUUUCUACACCCAAACUUGAAGCAUAAUUAACGUGGAGGAAAACAAAAAACAAAAACAUUUUCUGGCUGUUCAUACUGUUGAGGUCACUUUCCCUUUGUUGGUAAAUUUGUGCUAUUUACUAAACUACUUGGCUUACUGAUAUCUUUGGUUAUUCAGCUUUCUCAGAUGAUUGAUUUUUACCUUAUUCUCCAUUUUUCUCCUUUAAGUAUGUAGUCUUUGUACAACACCUCCUGAUUCAUUCACAGUUGCCCAGGACAUAAGCUCUCAAAGGUGCUCCACUAUUUUGAUGUUCAUUAUAGUCUGAAAAUGUUA